AUUGAACGCUGGCGGCAGGCCUAACACAUGCAAGUCGAACGGUAACAGGAAGAAGCUUGCUUCUUUGCUGACGAGUGGCGGACGGGUGAGUAAUGUCUGGGAAACUGCCUGAUGGAGGGGGAUAACUACUGGAAACGGUAGCUAAUACCGCAUAACGUCGCAAGACCAAAGAGGGGGACCUUCGGGCCUCUUGCUAUCGGAUGUGCCCAGAUGGGAUUAGCUAGUAGGUGGGGUAACGGCUCACCUAGGCGACGAUCCCUAGCUGGUCUGAGAGGAUGACCAGCCACACUGGAACUGAGACACGGUCCAGACUCCUACGGGAGGCAGCAGUGGGGAAUAUUGCACAAUGGGCGCAAGCCUGAUGCAGCCAUGCCGCGUGUAUGAAGAAGGCCUUCGGGUUGUAAAGUACUUUCAGCGGGGAGGAAGGGAGUAAAGUUAAUACCUUUGCUCAUUGACGUUACCCGCAGAAGAAGCACCGGCUAACUCCGUG
rnacentral:rRNA from 1 species